UACGGGGGGGGCAAGCGUUGUUCGGAAUUACUGGGCGUAAAGGGCUUGUAGGUGGCCAACUAAGUCAGACGUGAAAUCCCUCGGCUUAACCGGGGAACUGCGUCUGAUACUGGAUGGCUUGAGUUUGGGAGAGGGAUGCGGAAUUCCAGGUGUAGCGGUGAAAUGCGUAGAUAUCUGGAGGAACACCGGUGGCGAAGGCGGGUCUCUGGGCCGAAAUUGACGCUGAGGCGCGAAAGCGUGGGGAGCAAACAGG
rnacentral:rRNA from 1 species